GAUGAACGCUAGCUACAGGCUUAACACAUGCAAGUCGAGGGGUCUGCUUCGGCAGACGACCGGCGCACGGGUGAGUAACGCGUAUCCAACCUGCCCUUCAUAUUGGGAUAGCCUCUCGAAAGGGGAGAUUAAUACCGAAUAACAUGAGAUAGUUGCCUGAUUUUCUCAUGAAAGCUCCGGCGAUGAAGGAUGGGGAUGCGUUCCAUUAGGUAGUAGGGCGGGUAACGGCCCACCUAGCCUACGAUGGAUAGGGGGUUCUGAGAGGAAGGUCCCCCACACUGGAACUGAGACACGGUCCAGACUCCUACGGGAGGCAGCAGUGA
rnacentral:rRNA from 1 species